GCAAGGAGGUCGUAGGUCAUGCAGAGUGAUGGCGGAAUAUGCUGCACUGCGUGCGACCUCCCUU
ncrna:Ornithorhynchus anatinus (platypus) microRNA oan-mir-1421am precursor